rnacentral:rRNA from 1 species
GAAGCAGGAGCUUGCUCUUGUGGAUCAGUGGCGAACGGGUGAGUAACACGUGAGCAACCUGCCCCUGACUCUGGGAUAAGCGCUGGAAACGGCGUCUAAUACUGGAUAUGUGACGUGACCGCAUGGUCUGCGUUUGGAAAGAUUUUUCGGUUGGGGAUGGGCUCGCGGCCUAUCAGCUUGUUGGUGAGGUAAUGGCUCACCAAGGCGUCGACGGGUAGCCGGCCUGAGAGGGUGACCGGCCACACUGGGACUGAGACACGGCCCAGACUCCUACGGGAGGCAGCAGUGGGGAAUAUUGCACAAUGGGCGAAAGCCUGAUGCAGCAACGCCGCGUGAGGGAUGACGGCCUUCGGGUUGUAAACCUCUUUUAGCAGGGAAGAAGCGAAAGUGACGGUACCUGCAGAAAAAGCGCCGGCUAACUACGUGCCAGCAGCCGCGGUAAUACGUAGGGCGCAAGCGUUAUCCGGAAUUAUUGGGCGUAAAGAGCUCGUAGGCGGUUUGUCGCGUCUGCUGUGAAAUCCCGAGGCUCAACCUCGGGCCUGCAGUGGGUACGGGCAGACUAGAGUGCGGUAGGGGAGAUUGGAAUUCCUGGUGUAGCGGUGGAAUGCGCAGAUAUCAGGAGGAACACCGAUGGCGAAGGCAGAUCUCUGGGCCGUAACUGACGCUGAGGAGCGAAAGGGUGGGGAGCAAACAGGCUUAGAUACCCUGGUAGUCCACCCCGUAAACGUUGGGAACUAGUUGUGGGGUCCAUUCCACGGAUUCCGUGACGCAGCUAACGCAUUAAGUUCCCCGCCUGGGGAGUACGGCCGCAAGGCUAAAACUCAAAGGAAUUGACGGGGACCCGCACAAGCGGCGGAGCAUGCGGAUUAAUUCGAUGCAACGCGAAGAACCUUACCAAGGCUUGACAUAUACGAGAACGGGCCAGAAAUGGUCAACUCUUUGGACACUCGUAAACAGGUGGUGCAUGGUUGUCGUCAGCUCGUGUCGUGAGAUGUUGGGUUAAGUCCCGCAACGAGCGCAACCCUCGUUCUAUGUUGCCAGCACGUAAUGGUGGGAACUCAUGGGAUACUGCCGGGGUCAACUCGGAGGAAGGUGGGGAUGACGUCAAAUCAUCAUGCCCCUUAUGUCUUGGGCUUCACGCAUGCUACAAUGGCCGGUACAAAGGGCUGCAAUACCGUGAGGUGGAGCGAAUCCCAAAAAGCCGGUCCCAGUUCGGAUUGAGGUCUGCAACUCGACCUCAUGAAGUCGGAGUCGCUAGUAAUCGCAGAUCAGCAACGCUGCGGUGAAUACGUUCCCGGGUCUUGUACACACCGCCCGUCAAGUCAUGAAAGUCGGUAACACCUGAAGCCGGUGGCCUA